rnacentral:lncRNA from 7 species
AGUGCUCUCGCUGGGUGUAGAGUUCACUGGUGAGUGUGAGUGCAACUGUAGAAAGGGUUCCGCAUGAAGGCAGAGUGGAAAACCCUAACAAAGAACUGGACAGGAGCUGCUCUGCUGAGAAACCUGGCGAGGUGUUGCAAGACUGAGCGUAAGGAGUGCAGAACACAGUAGUUUGCUACAACUCUCCUCAAUGAUAGAGGCUUCAGUUAUGAAUGCUGUACCACAGAGGAAGAUUCCAGGAAGAACCUGACGUGGCAGAACAAAUGGUUUGCAAGAAGGAAAUGUUUCAUGUAGACAUAGAAGAAUAACUUCGUGACCCCAUGGGGUUAUCUUCUGAGCAGACAGACAUGCAGGAUGAUGACAAAGAGCCUUUCGAUCUCCCUGCCCACAGGAUGCUUGGAAGGGACCUCUUCCCUCUCACCAGAGAGCAAUGUGGACUGCCAGACCCAGUGUCUCAUAGACUGCAGGCAGGGACAUUACUACACAGCUGGCAACUGCUUGGAAUGUCCAACGGGCUUCUAUUGCCCUGGGGGUCAAAAAGCUCCAAGGAAAUGCCCACUGGGAACAGCCAAUGAACUUACAGCUCAAGUGGACAUCACAGCCUGCCAGGUCUGUCCCAAAGGCUAUCUCAGCCUAGAGAGUGGAGCUGGAUGUCGUGCAUGCCCGGAUGGCUAUUCCUGUGAUCCACGUAAUGGUGUGCAGAGGAGCUGUAAUCCUGGCCAGUAUUCUCCAGAGGGAGAGUUGGAGUGCCUGGAAUGCCCAGAGAGCCAUGUCUGCCCAGAUGGACGGAGCAGGCAGCACUGUUUGGCUGGGCAGGAGCCGGAUCCAAGCCGCACUCGUUGCGUUACCUAUGCCCGUGGUUCUGUCUCAGCUGAAGGCACACUGAUAUGCCAGCCCUGUCCAGCAGAACCCAAGAAAUAUGGGCUGACAGGGAGAGCGUGGCGUAGCUGUGAUUUUUGCAAAGGAAUAUUUAAUGUCACUACAGGGAUGCCGUUCACAAUCUGCAGUCCUACCAAACCAUCCCCUCCCCUCUAAGCCCUGUCUUGCAUGUGAAGAUGAAGUGUUUAAUGAGCAGCUCCAGGUGCCUCCUGCAGAGUCACUGAACCUUGUAACUUGAUUCUUACAUCUGUAAUUAGAAUCCUUUUU